UUAAAUUGAAGAGUUUGAUCAUGGCUCAGAUUGAACGCUGGCGGCAGGCCUAACACAUGCAAGUCGAACGGUAGCACAGAGAGCUUGCUCUCGGGUGACGAGUGGCGGACGGGUGAGUAAUGUCUGGGAAACUGCCUGAU
rnacentral:rRNA from 1 species